GGCAUAAGGUCGGGCAGCUGUUAGAGGUUUAGAUGAAGCCUAAGAGAGCUGUCUCCAGGCCAGGGGAGCCAGCUUGGGAGGCCCCAAGCCUGCUGCCUCUUAAAGCGGGUGACUCAGCCUCGCUCUGUCAGUGACACUGGUUGAAAAGGCAGUGUGCUCUAGUGGGAAGACAACAGGGACUGUGGCAUCAGGAGACUGAGGUUCAGAUACAGCCCCUGGUUGAUUUCCAGCUCUCCUGUGUCAGGUCACAUGACGGCUGCUGCAGUUCUACGUAUCAGAGCAUUCCAUGUCCACAUUCAAGGUGGGAAGAGUGAAUGAGCUGUACCAGAGAACACUCUGCAUAUCUGUCCUGUUGUAAGAAAGAAAGAUCCUUUCCGGAAGUUCCCAGCAGACUUCCUCUUCCAUCCAGCUGAUUGGAGCAGUGUCACAUGGACACUUGAAGCUGUAGGAGAGACUAAGAAUGGUGGGGCUGUGUUCCCUCCCUGUUAUUUGACCUGAGGCCAAACUAUUGUGGAAGUAAUGAAGAUAAUUGCAACCUUCUUCAAAUGGUCCCCUGCAAUCAAUGCUACACUCAGUGCCCCCAGCCCUGCAGCAGGCCACUGCUGACCCACGCCUCCACCAGAGACUCCUGGACACUCACAGGUUGGCAAGUAUUGUUCAGAUCUGAAAACACCAAAUACUGGCCUGAAUUGAACAUAGAGAAACAGGAAGUCAAAGGCAUUGGUGGUAGACUGUGGAUUGGAUUGCUUUGGGAAGCACUUUUGCAACGCUUAAUAAAGAUGGAGAUAAACAUCUACAUCAACUGGGCAAUUCCAUUUCUAGAAACUUUCACACAUGUGCAUAGGAAGACAAGUACAAGGGGAUUUAGUGGAACACUGGAGAUAAUCUAACUCUAUCCAUCAGUAGAAUAAUGGGGAGCUGCAGUAUUCAGAAAAUGGGUAUCAUCCAGGAGUGGAGAUGCAUGGACUCAGUCUGCAUGUAUUAGCUGAAUGAAUCCAAAGAACAAAAUGUUGAAUGAAAGUAGCAAGUCACACACUAUGCAUCAUUAUAU
ensembl:lncRNA